rnacentral:lncRNA from 1 species
CAAAUGGAGAAAUUGCAAAGGUCAUCACAAAGUCAGGCUUGCUGCAGAAGAUAGCACUGUGGGUGAACAGGAGAUACCCAAAGCUCCAGCUUCUGGACUGACUUACUCCAUUUGCUACCUUCUACUUUAAGCCUAGAUGACCAGAUGGAGAAUGGCUGCCCAGGCCCCUAGGGAAAAUCAGGACAUGUCUCCAGGGGCAAAUGCCUAGGCUCCAAAGCUCUUGCUACCAUCUAGAGGGAUGAAGCAGAUAAGAAGACUGAGGCUCAGAGAAGCAAAGCAGCCCAUCCAAGUUUCCCCAAUGAACAUGUUUAAAUGGAAGAGAGAGGAAUGAAAGAGGAAGGCAAGAAUACAAAUAUUUAAGAAAGCUUUAUUUUCCUGAAGCAAAGAAUGACACUUGAAACCGAGGGAAUCUCAAUGUCCACCUUGCAUUUCCAUGACCAGCAAGAGAGGGGAACCCCUACAGGAAUGUUCAUCCUCUGCCUCUGACCUGGGAAGUCCCAGUCAUCCCCGAGGACCAAUUCCAAAUGUCAAUUCAUUCACCACCAUCGCCCUUGUCAUUGCAUCCACUCCUCCUCUCUCUCUGACUUGUGUUAAUGGUAGGUAAAUGUGUAUGAGUCUAGGCUGGGGGUUUGUCUUUGAGGUCAAGGACUAUUUCUGAUUCACUGUGUGUCUCUCUAGAUCCUUCUUCCACCCAACAAAGAUGCUCAAAAUAUAUAUACAAAUGAUA